rnacentral:rRNA from 1 species
AGUGAACGCUGGCGGUAGGCCUAACACAUGCAAGUCGAACGGCAGCACAGUAAGAGCUUGCUCUUACGGGUGGCGAGUGGCGGACGGGUGAGGAAUACAUCGGAAUCUACUUUUUCGUGGGGGAUAACGUAGGGAAACUUACGCUAAUACCUCAUACGACCUACGGGUUAAAGCAGGGGAUCUUCGGACCUUUCGCGAUUGAAUGAGCCGAUGUCGGAUUAGCUAGUUGGCGGGGUAAAGGCCCACCAAGGCGACGAUCCGCAGCUGGUCUGAGAGGAUGAUCAGCCACACUGGAACUGAGACACGGUCCAGACUCCUACGGGAGGCAGCAGUGGGGAAUAUUGGACAAUGGGCGCAAGCCUGAUCCAGCCAUACCGCGUGGGUGAAGAAGGCCUUCGGGUUGUAAAGCCCUUUUGUUGGGAAAGAAAAGCAGCAGGUUAAUACCCCGAUGUUCUGACGGUACCCAAAGAAUAAGCAACGGCUAACUUCGUG